GUUAAGUGAAUAAGGGCGCACGGUGGAUGCCUUGGCACUAGGAGCCGAUGAAGGACGGGACUAACACCGAUAUGCUUUGGGGAGCUGUACGUAAGCUAUGAUCCAGAGAUUUCCGAAUGGGGGAACCCAACAUCUUUAAUAGGAUGUUACGAUUGUGUGAAUACAUAGCACAUUCGAGGUAGACGCAGAGAACUGAAACAUCUAAGUACCUGCAGGAAGAGAAAGAAAAUUCGAUUCCCUGAGUAGCGGCGAGCGAAACGGGAAAAGCCCAAACCAGCAAGCUUGCUUGUUGGGGUUGUAGGACUCCAAUAUGGUAGUUCUUUCAGAUAGUCGAAUGACUUGGAAAAGUCAGUCAAAGAGGGUAAAAACCCCGUAGACGAAAUGUGGAAGACACCUAGGAGGAUCCUGAGUACGGCGGAACACGAGAAAUUCCGUCGGAAUCCGGGAGGACCAUCUCCCAAGGCUAAAUACUCCCUAGUGACCGAUAGUGAACCAGUACCGUGAGGGAAAGGUGAAAAGCACCCCGGAAGGGGAGUGAAAUAGAACCUGAAACCGUGUGCCUACAACAAGUCAAAGCCCGUUAAUGGGUGAUGGCGUGCCUUUUGUAGAAUGAACCGGCGAGUUACGAUUGCAUGCGAGGUUAAGUUGAAGAGACGGAGCCGCAGCGAAAGCGAGUCUGAAUAGGGCGUUUGAGUAUGUAGUCGUAGACCCGAAACCAUGUGAUCUACCCAUGUCCAGGUUGAAGGUGCGGUAAAACGCACUGGAGGACCGAACCCACGUACGUUGAAAAGUGCGGGGAUGAGGUGUGGGUAGCGGAGAAAUUCCAAACGAACUUGGAGAUAGCUGGUUCUCUCCGAAAUAGCUUUAGGGCUAGCCUCGGAAUUGAGAAUGAUGGAGGUAGAGCACUGUUUGGACUAGGGGCCCAUCUCGGGUUACCGAAUUCAGAUAAACUCCGAAUGCCAUUCAUUCAUAUCCGGGAGUCAGACUGUGAGUGAUAAGAUCCAUAGUCGAAAGGGAAACAGCCCAGACCACCAGCUAAGGUCCCAAAAUAUAUGUUAAGUGGAAAAGGAUGUGGGGUUGCACAGACAACUAGGAUGUUGGCUUAGAAGCAGCCACCAUUUAAAGAGUGCGUAAUAGCUCACUAGUCGAGUGACCCUGCGCCGAAAAUGUACCGGGGCUAAACAUAUUACCGAAGCUGUGGAGUACACCUUUAGGUGUAUUGGUAGGAGAGCGUUCUAAGGGCGUUGAAGGCAGAUCGUGAGGACUGCUGGAGCGCUUAGAAGUGAGAAUGCCGGUAUGAGUAGCGAAAGACAGGUGAGAAUCCUGUCCACCGAAUGACUAAGGUUUCCUGGGGAAGGCUCGUCCGCCCAGGGUUAGUCGGGACCUAAGCCGAGGCCGACAGGCGUAGGCGAUGGAUAACAGGUUGAUAUUCCUGUACCCGUUGUUUUUGUUUGAGCAAUGGAGGGACGCAGGAGGCUAAGGAAUGCAGACGAUCGGAAAUGUCUGUCCAAGCAGUAAGUCUGAAGAGGAGU
rnacentral:rRNA from 1 species